GGAUAACCUGCCCUUGGGUCCGGCAUAACCCCGGGAAACUGGGGAUAAUUCCGGAUAACGCAUAUAUGCUGGAAUGCUUUAUGCGUAAAAUGGAUUCGUCUGCCCAAGGAUGGGUCUGCGGCCUAUCAGGUAGUAGUGGGUGUAAUGUACCUACUAGCCGACGACGGGUACGGGUUGUGAGAGCAAGAGCCCGGAGAUGGAUUCCGAGACAUGAAUCCAGGCCCUACGGGGCGCAGCAGGCGCGAAAACUUUACAAUGCGGGAAACCGUGAUAAGGGGACACCGAGUGCCAGCAUCAUAUGCUGGCUGUCCAGGUGUGUAAAAUACACCUGUUAGCAAGGGCCGGGCAAGACCGGUGCCAGCCGCCGCGGUAACACCGGCGGCCCGAGUGGUGAUCGUGAUUAUUGGGUCUAAAGGGUCCGUAGCCGGUUUGGUCAGUCCUCCGGGAAAUCUGAUAGCUCAACUAUUAGGCUUUCGGGGGACACUGCCAGACUUGGAACCGGGAGAGGUAAGAGGUACUACAGGGGUAGGAGUGAAAUCUUGUAAUCCCUGUGGGACCACCUGUGGCGAAGGCGUCUUACCAGAACGGGUUCGACGGUGAGGGACGAAAGCUGGGGGCACGAACCGGAUUAGAUACCCGGGUAGUCCCAGCCGUAAACGAUGCUCGCUAGGUGUCAGACAUGGCGCGACCGUGUCUGGUGCCGCAGGGAAGCCGUGAAGCGAGCCACCUGGGAAGUACGGCCGCAAGGCUGAAACUUAA
rnacentral:rRNA from 1 species